rnacentral:rRNA from 1 species
UACGAAGGGGGCUAGCGUUGCUCGGAAUCACUGGGCGUGAAGCGCACGUAGGCGGCUUUCUAAGUCAGGGGUGAAAUCCUGGAGCUCAACUCCAGAACUGCCUUUGAUACUGGGAAGCUUGAGUCCGGAAGAGGUGAGUGGAACUCCGAGUGUAGAGGUGAAAUUCGUAGAUAUUCGGAAGAACACCAGUGGCGAAGGCGGCUCACUGGUCCGGUACUGACGCUGAGGUGCGAAAGCGUGGGGAGCAAACAGG